UCUCCUUGAGGGAAGAAGUAACCUCUUUGGGGGUGGGACCCACGUGCUUUGCCGUUUCUGUCAACGGUGCCAGGCCGAGCCCGGCACCGGGGACGCGGGCCGACCAGAGAGCGCCGUCGCGGUUGAUGAACACGGAUCCAAAUCUCCCCAGGGAAGGGGAAGGAGGGCGAGUCUGGCAUCCGAUCCUGGCCCGGCAGAAGAUGGCCGUGUGACCUCCAGCUCGCCGUUAGCCUCUCUGAGCCCUGAGGUUCUGAGGCACCCAGCGAUGGGAGGUGCCCAGAAGGCAGCGCGCGUGUGGCCUGUCGUCGGCUGGCCCCGUAGAGGCUAACUCUCCGUUUUAGCCCCGAACGGUGAUGCCAAGCCUGGCCGCCUAAUGGCCUCAUGAUGUUGAACUCUGCAGAGACAAAACCAAAUGUCAAGGUCGUUCCCCCCACGCAGGUGUGAGGGCGAAUUCACGUCAGGUGGUUAUGCUGUGCGGGCAGCACUGGGAGCCAGGAAGGAGGAAGGAGCAAAGGGCUGGGAUCCGGAGACGUCCUCUGUUGACUUCUUGCUUGGUGCCGGACCCGCUCCAGUGUUCCUCUGAAGUUUGACGUUUUCUUGCAAAUGUCUGGGGAAGAUUAAAGAAGCACGCGCACGAGCGAGCAUGAACGCACGCGCGGUGGCUGCGAAGG